AGAACUCUAUAAUCUUAAAUUUGAAUUUGUAAUACCAGUAUAAACUUAAGAUUUAUAUUUUCUUUCUAAAAACAUGUAUUUCCUAGCUGUGUACAUUAAAAAGAGCAAAACUCAAUAGCAACCCAAUGGCAAAGAACAUCCACUUUUGGUCUCUACACAUAAUUUCUCACUAAAGGAACCAGGGGUCCUUGGAGAAAUGGCUGAUUUCAGGUCUAAUGCAGGAUAUGAAUGUACAAGAUGAAUCUGGAGCAUCUUUUCCCAGGAACCAAGGAGUUUAUCAAAAACUAAUGUGGUGAUGUAAAAAGGACAUAUGAGUCAACCUGAAGAAGCUGUCAUUGGCAAAUGAGAAGAUAAUCUGAGCAUUAAAAAAAAAGACUAUAAUUUAUUGAAACAAAACAAAAAAGAAUUCAUGAACUCAUAAUGAUAUGAAAAAAAAAAAAGACCUAAUUGGUCAUCAUUGAAGGUUGUUAGAACUAUAGUAUUUUUCUUUGAAAAUUAAAAGUAUGUGGGAAUAAUAAUUUUAUGGAGAAAAAAGAGACGAGAAUUUUUUACUGGUUUCAGAAGCCAGUCCAUACACAGUUAAGAAAAGUUCAGAAAAGUUAAGGGUCAUUAAGCUUUACUAAAAAUUGCCUAGUCAAGUACAAAGUAGAAAUUUGAGCCUUGAAAUAAUAUUUUAAAAUGUGUUCUGUACUUCAUUAAAAUUCACUGUGAAAGGAGAUGAGUGUCUAGUGUAGGCAUUUUAUAGAAAAUAGAUUUUAGUGAAUCUAAAAUCAUUAAUGUUCAUUUGUUUUUAAUUCCUGAUAUUGGUUAUUCUAGUUUCUCUCUUUUUCUUAUCAAUCUUGCCAAAGAUUAUCAUUAUGUUAGUCAUUUCAAAGAAUGAACGUUUCUUAUGUUCAUACUCGAUCAUUGUUUUUAUUUCAUUAAUGUCUGUGCUUACCUUUGUUAGUUAUUCCUACUGCUUUCUUUAAUAUAAUGUUCCUUUUCUAACUUUUGACAUGAAUACAUGGAUAAUUUAUUUUUAUCCUUUCAUUGUUUUAUGUAUGUACAUUUUGAGGUAUAUGAAUCUCCUUAAAAACAUGGAUUUAGCUGAAUCCCACAAAUUUUGUUGAGUAGUUUUUCUAUUAUAUUCAGUUCAGAACAUUAGCAAAUAUUCCCUGAUCUCUAUUAGAUAGACCUCUUUGCCUCAUGGAUUUUUUAAAAGAAUAUAAUUUUUAAGAUUUUAGAAUUUUAAAUUACUUUUUGUUUUUUAUUUCUAGUUUAAUUUCAUUGUGGUCAAAAAUCCUAUUUUCUAUGAUUUCAAUCCUUCAAAAAUUUGUUAAAACUCACAUCAUGGAUCAACAUAUGAUCUACUUUGAUUCUGAAGACAAAAAAGGAGACCCCUUGUUUUCUAGAGGCAGUUGUACACAAGCAAACUGUGAUUUUGGAAGCCUCAACUAAGGAUCACCUACUUGAGUCCUGAAGCACCUGAGGUCUUGGGAAGCAUUCAGAUGUGUGAACAGUAUUCCUCCAAAGCAUAUGAUGACUGAGAGCGGGAUGGCUGUGGCCUGCCAAGACAGGCCAAUGGCAUCUUAGUUGUGGUUACUUGGGCAUCUGACUUCUGACUAAGUUUUCAGAUUUGUAAUUACCUUGAGGUAAGUGUAACAUUCCCUCUUCAUAGAAAAAUAUAUCUCCAAAUCAGUCUUUUCUGGAAUAUUAUGAUCAGGGUUUGUGUCAAAUGAACAGCAGAGUAGUUAAGGGAUUAGGAGAAGUGAGGUCUAUAGUUUCUUCUCAUUUCAUCUAUAGGAAAAUAAAUUAUCAGCUUCUAUAUGAAAUAUGUCAUUGACUCUAAAAAGUUUCACUUUAAAUCAUCACUAAUUUGCUGAAGUUCUUUAUUUUGAAAUGUGAAGCUCAUUAUAAAAUAUAGCAAAUUUCACAAAGUCACGAAUGUAGAUAGAUCAUUACUUCAAAUCACCCAACAGCAGGCUGGGCAUUGAUGUGUCACUGUGAAGGAAAGAAACAUCAGACAUAUGUGAAUGCUGUCAACAUACCCAUAGAUCAAUUCAUCAGCCACAAGAAAUGCAUCUCUCAUCAGCAAGGUUAAGGACCGGGUGUUGUUUGAGAAACAUGCAAAGAUAUUUUUGUCAGUCUGCUUUUGUGCACCCACUGCUCUCUUCUGUCCUCCUGUCCCACUUAGGCAUCUUUGUUAUACUGUGAUUCUGCAGAUCACUCCUCAUUGUUGUGGUCAGUGCUCCUGCACAAUAUUUAACCCAAUAUGAAUAAGAUUAAUCAAAUUAAAAAUUAGAUACCUAAUAUGAUUUUGUCAGCAUAGUUGUAUUGUUUUCUUUUCCUUUUUUUUUUUCCCUCCAUGAAGGGGAGUUUCCUUAAUUGUGGCAAAAAGUAAAUGUUGCAAUAUGCAUAUAACUUCAAGUUAUAUUACAAAACCUCAAGUUCCCUAGACUUCAGGAUAUCAUCUCUCCUUUGACUACCUAGCCAAUAUAGGUCCUUACACAAAGCCUCCUUCCUACCUGUCUGCAAGAAUCCCAUGCUUUCCUCCUUCCUUCUUUCUCUCCUUUCUUUGUCCUUUCAACAUAUCUCAUUUAAUAUUGCUAAAGAUCCCUGAGAAUCCUUGUUAACCCAAAUGGAUUGCUAUCACCUCUUGUGGAUUGCUACCCAGGCGUCAUUUUGGGUCACCAGUUAACAAUUGCAUAUCUGCUUUCCUGACUACCGAUGGCCUCACUGGUUUACUUUUCUCUAAACAGAACAAAGUAGAACUAAUAAACCUUCCCUGAAAUCUUAAUGAGAAUGAAAACUUUAUAGUGUAGUGAAGAGAUGGGAAAAAUAAAAGAAUAAAACACAAUACAUCUCUGAAAGUUCAUCACUAAGACCCGUAUUUGCCAUGUCACUCUGACCUAUCGGCCUGUUACAAUUGUCAAAGAUCUUGGGAUGCCUGGGUGGCUCAGUGAGUUGAACAUCUGACUCUUGAUUUAGGUUCAAGUCAUGAUCCCAAGGUCAUGGAAUUGAGCCCUGUGUUGGCAUCUGCUGAGUGUGGA